GGGAUUGUGGCUCAGUGGUAGAGCGCUUGCCUAGUCUGUGUGAGGCCCUGGGUUCAAUUCUCAGCACCA
rfam:Ictidomys tridecemlineatus contig106389, whole genome shotgun sequence.